rnacentral:rRNA from 1 species
UACGGGGGGGGCAAGCGUUGUUCGGAAUUACUGGGCGUAAAGGGCGCGUAGGCGGCCUGCUAAGUCGGAUGUGAAAUCCCUCGGCUCAACCGAGGAACUGCAUCCGAUACUGGCGGGCUUGAAUCCGGGAGAGGGAUGUGGAAUUCCAGGUGUAGCGGUGAAAUGCGCAGAUAUCAGGAAGAACACCCGUGGCGAAGGCGGCUCUCUGGGACGGUACUGACGCUGAGACGCGAAAGCGUGGGGAGCGAACAGG